CUAGAUUCCUGAACACAUUCAGACCUGCCACAGCAACCUAGCUCUGAACUCCCUUCAAAAUUUCACUCUUGUGGCCCAGGCUGGAGUGCAAUGGCGUGAUCUCAGCUCACUGCAACUUCUACCUCUCGGAUUCAAGUGAUUCUCCUGCCUCAGCCUCCCAGGUAGCUGGGAUUACAGGGCUGCUCUAUGCCAAAGGAAAUAAGAUUAAAGCAACACAGGAAGAGUUCUGGUUGGCAAUAAGACACAAUGGAUAUAUCUUGCAUGGGAUUUGAAAGGAAGAGUAGAAAAAUCUACAUGAGUACUCUUGGGGGAAAAGAGGUCUCACUCUGUCACCAGGCUGGAUUGCAAAGGCAUGAUCAUGGCUCACUGCAGCCUCAACCUACCUAGCUCAAGUGAUCCUCCCACUGCACCCUCCUAAGUAGCUGGGACUACAGGUAUGCACCACCACACCUAACUAAUUUAUGCAAAUCUUAUUUAUAGUGGCAUUAAUCUAUUCAUGAGGCUAGAACCCUUAUGACCUAAACACUUCCUUUUAGGCCUCAUCUCCUGACACUGUUGCAUUGGGGAAUACGUUUUUAACAUAUGAAUUUUGGGGGACAUAUUUAGCACAUAGCGCCUUAAUGAGAAAUGUUUCCUGGGCUUAUUAAAGACAAUAUUUGGGGGUCACACCUUUUUAGAGCUGAGGGCCGAAUCCUGAGAGAAGGAUAUGCCCAUAUCUUCUUUUAUAACAAUGUAGUGUGUGAGUAUGUUUGUGGUUUCAAGGGCUCUUUAGUGGUAUAAGAUGCCCCCUUCUCUGUAUCUAAAGGUGGUACUCCCAAUGAUAUGCUCCUUUCUAAAUCCAGUGACAUUUCUAUGUAUUUUAUUUUCUUAGCCUUUCUGUUGUCAGCAAUAUUACAUCAAUUACCUCUGUAUUCUUGAAAAUCUCAUUUUAUCAUGCUCUUUUCUGCUGAUCCUACUACCUAAUUUUUUUUUUCUAUAAACUCUUACUCCAAGCCAAUGUUAUACAUGUUAUACAAUGUUAUACCUAACUUCUGUCCUAGGAUCUUACUCCAAGCCAGUGUUAUAUAUGUUCUACCUAACUUCUUUCCUUGACUUUUACUCUAAGCCAGCGUUAUACAUGUUCUACCUAACUUCUGUCCUUGGAUUGUGCUCCAAGCCAAUGUUAUACAUGUUCUACCGAACUUCUGUCCUUGACUUUUACUCUAAGCCAAUGUUAUACGUGUUCUACCUAACUUCUGUCCUUGACUCUUACUCUAAGCCAAUGUUAUACAUGUUCUACCUAACUUCUGUCCUUGGCUCUUUGCUGUUUUUAUAUGCUCAUAUCUUCAACUAUUAUUUGUAAGAAGAUCACACUCAAAGGUGUAUCCUGAGCUUGAGUAUUGUAUUUCUAGUUGUCUGUUGAACAUCUCUUCCUGGACAUCACACAAGUUUCCCAAACAUGGUACUUUCAGAAUUUACUAUAUCAAGCUCCUCCACAUAUUUUUAAUUGCUGUGAACUUUAUAUCUGUUAAAGACACCACACAUAGUCUUCUCACCCUGGCCAAACAACUUGCUCUCAUUGUUCUUCACUUAAUUUCCUGAUGUUGUUAUCUUGCUUUCUUGAUUUCUCUUGUUUCUGUCCCCUUUUUUCCAUUGUCCUCUUUUCUUCAUCUUGUACAUAGUAGGCACUUAGUGAUCAUUUACUGAUAUUGGCUUUCCGCCUAAUCAGAACUUAUUUUAUAUAAUGACAUGAUAAAAUGUUAUAACAUUGACAUGCCUGGAUAAUUCAGUCUUUCAUGGCAUAACUUUUUGAAAAUAAUUCUUCUAGUACUUGUUGGAUAACCAAACUUUUUUGUAUUACCGCCAUUGCUUUUUAAAAUUCUUUCAAAUAUAACAUCACAAUAUAUUGUCAAAUAAUGAAAUGUUUUAUUAAGGCAAAACAAAAGUGCAAAAUCGAUACAAUAAACACUGCAAAUCAAAUAUUCUUAAAAGGUGUUAUUAAGUUCUUUUACUGUAAGAGGUCUAAUAGUAAAGAUUUCAGGCUUUGUGAGCUAUACAAUCUGUCACAACUACUGAAUCCUGCUGUUGUAGCACAAAAGCACCCAUAGAUAAUACCCAAGUGAAUGGCAUGGUUACAUUCCAGUAAAACUUUAUUUACAAAUAUAAAAUUUAAAAUUUUAUGUAAUUGCCAUGAGUCACAGAAUAUUAUUCUGCUUUUGAUUUUUAUAAACACUGGAAAGUGUAAAAAUUAUUCUUUAGCUUGAAGGCUAUACAAAAAUAGAAAUAUGCCCAGAUUUGACCCAUGGGUCAUAGUUUGCCAAUGCCUGCUAUAAAAAAUAAAUUACUAAAAUUCAAGAAUCAUUAUUUUUGUGAUUCUUGAAGAAUCCCAACAACUGAACAUCAAUAACAUAACUUUACUUUCCCAAGGCAUUACAGAUUUAUUGAUUCAGAACAAAAAAAAUUACCACUGAUUAUGCCAGUAGGUACUGGGUUAGUUAUUUUGGAAAAUGCAAAAAGAUACUAGGCGCUGUCUUUCCUGCUUUAGGGAUCACACUCUAUUAGAGGGGAAAGGCAAUGAUGUAAAACAGUAUAAAACAAAACAGUGUGUGAUAAAUGCUACUAUUAUAGAAAUUUUUAAAAAAUCUAUAGAGCUCCAAGGCAGUGGUUGAUUCCGAUCGGGAGGAAAUAGAAAUGUGUCCUGAUGAUGUUGCUUAAGGUGAGUCUCAAGAGUGGGUAAACCAUGAUGGACAGUGACAGCCUGGAAUCAGGGAGGGAGGCUGUGCUUUUGAUGAAGGAAAUAAUAAGCUGAUGGAGGCUAGGGAUGCAAGAUGGCCUCGGUUGAGGGCAGGAGUUAGUGAUGGGCACACAUUUUUGGGGAGUUACAAGUUUGAGAACUUUGAGAUGAGAACCUUAAAAUCUAGGUUAACCAUUUAGCUUUUAUUUUUUUCUGCAAGGAAAUUCACUAAAGAAGAUUAGGGAAAGAAAGAUGUCAAAGAUCCCAUUUAAAGUUGAAUUUCCUUUAUGGCAGUGAUUAAUAAAGAAUCUAAUCUUAUUUGGGCAAUACUGGAAAUUAUGAAAAUUGAGUUUAGAUGUUGCUGUAAAAUUGGUCCUUUAAAAUCUAUUCAAAACAUUGUUUUUAAACAAAAUGAAGACUGUUAAUUGAUCUAGAGUUUAAAAUAUUAAUUCCUUUUUGUAGUUUUAAAAUUUUGCUGAAAAACUAGAAAAAACUUCUUGAAUUUGUUUCACUAUCUACCAAACCUCUCAUAGCUGCAGUUAGGAUAUUUAUGCCAAUGUUAUAAUGUAAUCAAUGCUACACUGAACAAUCACUUAGUUUCUAUCUGACUGUUUUAGUCUGCUCAGGCUGCCAUAACACAAUACCGUAUACUGGGUGGCUUAAACAACAGUAGUUUUUCUCACAAUUCUGGAGGCUAAAAGUCCAAGAUCAAGGUAAUGAACAAUUCAGUUUCUGGUGAGGACUCUCUUCCUGGCUUGUAGAUGGUUGCUCUUGACUUUGGCCUUCUUCACUCCAUGUGUUACGGGAAAGGGCAACGCAAACUCUCUGGUGUCUCUUCUGAUAAUAUUAAUCCUAUUGGAUUAGGGCUCCACCUAUACAGCCUCAUUUACUCUUAAACACCUUCUCAAAGGCUCCAUUUUCAAAUACAGCCACACUGGGGCUUAGGGCUUCAACCCAUGAAUUUGGGGGAAGGGUACAGGCAUUCAAUUGUUGAUACUCACCAUAUUUUAUACCUGCUAUGUAAUAAAUUCUUGGCUAGAAUUCAAUUUCUACUUUGUAGAUCCCAAACUUUCCAAGUUCGGUUAAAAAAUAACAAUUCAAAUUGAUUGUGAAUUGACUAAGUGCACACAGAUAACUGUAUGUGAAUAAAUAAUUCUUCCCCUCUUCUUAAUUGUACGGUGCAUUUUUAUCUCUUCUUUUAAAUUUAUAUUACAAAAGAAAAUUUGUCAGUUUACACAUAUAUGAGUCUAAGGACAAAACUGAAGGCCAUGGAAAAGAAAAUCAUGACCGGAGGUAAAAACUGAAUUGCAUUAUAGGAUUUGAAUGUCUCUUAUUAAUCCAUGGCAUUUCAGAAUUACAUGUAAUGCUAUUUUAGAGUAGUUGUUUGACAAGGGCAUUAGGAAGAAACGACACUCCCUCCUGAUUUAAAUAACAUUCUUGUUUCACAUUUAAAAUUUAUAUGUGCUUUUUAAAUUCUUCUGAAUAAAAAUUGCAGCAACUUCUUUGACAUUUAAUUAUUGCUUGUCUGUUAUAUGCAUUCUUGCAAUGGUGCCCAGGUCAAGAGAAUUAAUGUACACACUUUUCAAAGAGUUCUUACUGUUAAUUUCUGAGAAUUAGUAACAGAACAAAGAUAAAUAAAGAAUAUUAUUUUUUAUCUAUCUGAUAUUAAUUAUACCAGCACACAUUUCAUAAUUCCAGCCAUAUUAUAAAAUGUAAUAGUGAAUCCUUGACUACAAUAAGUUGUUUUUUUAAAUGUUUGCUAUCAAUGAAAAAGAAUCAAUUCUUGUUUUUUUUAUUUUAUUAUUAUUAUACUUUAAGUUUUAGGGUACAUGUGCACAAUGUGCAGGUUAGUUACAUAUGUAUACAUGUGCUAUGCUGGUGUGCUGCACCCAUUAACUCGUCAUUAAGCAUUAGGUAUAUCUCCUAAUGCUAUCCCCCCUCCCCCCACCCCACAACAGUCCCCAGAGUGUGAUGUUCCCCUUCCUGUGUCCAUGUGUUCUCAUUGUUCAAUUCCCACCUAUGAGUGAGAACAUGCGGUGUUUGGUUUUUUGUCUUUGUGACAGUUCACUGAGAAUGAUGAUUUCCAAUUUCAUCCAUGUCCCUACAAAGGACAUGAACUCAUCAUUUUUAUGGCUGCAUAGUAUUCCAUGGUGUAUAUGUGCCACAUUUUCUUAAUCCAGUCUAUCAUAGUUGGACAUAAUUCUUGUUUAAAAGAGGGAAAAGAAAAAAGGUAGAAAAGAUAAAUUCUUCCUUUAAAACAUAAUCUAUGUAUUUUUAUCAGAAGUUCUCUCAUUUUAUUUAAAUUUUGCUUACUGUCUAUUUUCUAUUCGGAAGAGAAAAUUAUUCCUUCGAAAUGUUGACAAUGGCUGGACAUAAAGAAAAAACUAAGUUUCUUCAAGGACUCAAAUGCAGGGAUUGACAUUUGAUAUUGUUGAUAUUAGUCUGAUUAUUUGUUAUUACCAAAUAAAAUCCGAUGACUCUCUAGACACUUUAUUUGGUUAUUAAAAAAUCUAAGUGGACUUUGUUGAAAUCUCCAAAUAAAUAAGGAGCAUGCUGCUGUUGAUAUCAGGUUUACAUGAUAAAUAUAUAGUUGAUAGCCAAUAGCAUUUGAAAAUAUACAGAGCUAUAUUUCAACAAAGGAAAGCUUUAAUAAUGUAUCUAUUUAAUCACAGUUCUCAAAUCAUUAAAUGUAGAGGAGAGGCAAUAAACAUAAGUUAAAUAAUAGGAAAAUGAGAAUAAGAGAUUAUUUUGAGAACUCUCUAAAUUGUUAGGGGAAAAGUUUCUUAAUGAGCUAUUUUAAUAUUCAGAUUCAUUGAAGGUAUUUUUUUGUUGGAGGAGUGAUCUGAACUUCAAGCUCAAAUCCAUUAUUCAUGGAUAUUUUAAAAGACAGUAAAGUUUAUUUUCAAAUGUUUUUCUAAAGUCUUAGAAGGUAAUUUUUUUGAAAAUUUAUUAGCUUUUUAUUUAUCAUUCAUAUACUAAUUUUAUAUGGGUCAAAUUUAUUAUAAAUUAAUGUCAUUUUUAAUAUUCUCUAUAUGUUUAUAGUACUUUAGAGAUUUUUCUGUAAUUACAUGUCUAAUACAUUUUACGUGUCUUUGAGCAUAAUAUUCAAAUUGCAAAAUGUUUUAUAGGUUUUAGACAUCUAUACAACUUAUCUUGCUUUAUGAAAUAAUGUUCAAUAUUGAUCAAUAAUGCAAUCUAGCCCUAAAAGCCUUUAUUACUUAGACAUAAAAGAAAGAAAAUAAAUAAACAUUCAACUCAUGAAUUUAAACUAUUAAUAUUUAGGAGAAAGUGAGUAAUAAAGAUAAUAAAAAUAUCCACAAAAUGUCAAAUAGUAGAAUUAUAGAACUAAAUAAAUUGUUAAUUGUAAAUAAGCAAAUUCAAGAGUUGAUUUUGUUUUAAGUCAGUUAAAUACACAGUUGUAGUCAAUAAAAAAAGGACAAAAGCAGUUCCACCACCCCCACUUCCAAAUUUUGGAAAAUGAGAGGACAUGUAUUAAAAACUAUAGAAGAUAAAUGUAUACAUUAGAAAUUUUUUUGAAGGGGAUGUGUUAUGGAAAAAUACACAUUAUUAAAAUGAAGCCAGAAAAGAAUAAAAACUAAAUAGAACAAUAACUAUGGAAGAAUAUAUGUAUAUGCUGUUUGUGUGUACACACACACACGCACACACACACAGGUUUCCAAAUUGCUUUUCCAAAACUAGCAUUAAACCUAAUAUCAAACCUUGCCAAACGCCAUACAAAUGAGAAAACAGCCUCAACAGUCAUACUUACAGAUAAUAGAAUAACCCUAAAUUCUUUCGACCUCAAUUUCACUUGCAUCUGUGUGAAGAGACCAUCAAACAGGCUUUGUGUGAGCAAUAAAGCUGUUUAUUUCACCUGGGUGCAGGUGGGCUGAGUCCGAAAAGAGAGUCAGUGAAGGGAGAUAGGGGUGCGGCCCUUUUAUAGGAUUUGGGUAGGUAAAGGAAAAAGGGAGGUGUUCUCUGGCAGGCAAGAGUGGGGGGUCACAAGGUGCUCAGUAGAGGAGCUUUUGAGCCAGGAUGAGCAAGGAAAAGGAAUUUCACAAGAUAAUGCCAUCAGUUAAGGCAGGAACAGGCCAUUUUCACUUCUUUUGUGGUGGAAUGUCAUCAGUUAAGGCAGGAACUGGCCACCUGGAUGUGUACGUGCAGGUCACAGGGGAUAUGAUGGCUUAGCUUGGGCUCAGAGGCCUAACAUUCCUGUCUUCUUAUGUUAAUAAGAAAAAUAAAACAAAAUAAUGGUAAAGUGUUGGGAUGGUGAAAAUUUUGGGGGAUGGUAUGGAGAAAUAAUGGGCGAUGUUUCUCAGGGUUGCUUCGAGCGGGAUUAGGGGAGGCGUGGGAACCUAGAGUGGGAGAGAUUAAGCUGAAGGAAGAUUUUGUGGUAAGGGGUGAUAUUGUGGGGUUGUUAGAAGAAACAUUUGUCAUUUAGAAUUAUUGGUGAUGGCCUGGAUACGGUUUUGUAUGAAUUGAAAAACUAAACGGAAUAAGAGAAGGAGAAAAACAGGUAUUAAAGGUCUAAGAAUUGGGAAGACCCAGGACAUCUAAUUAGACAGUGCCUAAGGAGAUUCAGCAUAGUCCU